CAAAAGAACAGGAAUGGAGGAAAAAUGUAUGUCCAGGACAAGAUCGAGGAGUACAGCGAUGAGAUCUUUAAACUCUUGGAUGGCGGGGCUCACAUAUACUUCUGCGGAUUGAAAGGGAUGAUGCCAGGAAUUCAGGACACACUGAAAAAGGUUGCAGAGCAAAGGGGUGAGAAAUGGGAAGAGAAACUUUCACAGCUUAAAAAGAACAAACAGUGGCAUGUUGAAGUUUACUGAAGUGUAGUUGCAUAGAAACGUGUGCAUUGAUGUCUGUUUAGAAGAUGUAGCAGCACAUGAUCUCUUGUUCUGUGUUACUCCUUGCAUUGCUCAUCUUUCAGUUUCAUAGCUUAAGAUUACGAAUAAGGUGGCCUCCGU
rnacentral:lncRNA from 1 species